rnacentral:rRNA from 1 species
CACAAGGGGUGAAGCCUGCGCGUUCAAUUGGAGUCAACGCCAGGAAACUUACCAGGAGAGACAGCAGGUUGAGGGUCAGUCUGAAGAACUUACCUGACGAGCUGAGAGGAGGUGCAUGGCCGUCGCCAGCUCGUGCCGUGAGGCGUCCUGUUAAGUCAGGCAACGAGCGAGACCCCUAUCAGUAAUUGCUAACUGCUCAGAGAUGAGUAGAGGCUAGUUACAGAGACUGCCGUUGAUAAAACGGAGGAAGGAAGGGGCCACGGCAGGUCAGUAUGCCCCGAAACUCCUGGGCCACACGCGGGCUGCAAUGGUAGGGACAAUAGGUUCCGACCUCGAAAGAGGAAGGCAAUCCCCAAACCCUACCCCAGUUGUGAUCGAGGAUUGAAACCCGUCCUCGUGAAUAUGGAAUCCCUAGUAACCGCGUGUCAUCACCGCGCGGUGAAUACGUCCCUGCUCC